UUGAACUUUCUCUCUCUCUCUAUAUACAAACAGCAACCACAACCCAGCAACAACCACCAUCACCAGAUCUGUAGCCUGCCACCAACAACCUGCCACCACCCACCAAAAUUGCGGCUGAAGUUUAUAUUGCACCUGGACUCAUUAAAAACACACAUGCUGUAGCAAGUAGCAAUCAUAUACAGACCAAAUCGACUUAUACCCAUUCCAUUCCCCCAACUUGAUUCAAUUCAGUUAUAUAUAUACACACACAAUCUUUUUGAAAUUACAGUUCCUCCUUGUUAUUUUCAGAUCUCAAACCCCAUCUUUUCUCAGUCAAGAUUCAUCUCAAAACACUCGAUUCAGACAAUAAUAUUCUGUUAAUCAGGAAGAGAGCGGUGGUGAUAGUUGGCGGCAGAUGGUGUGGUUGAUGGUGGGGCAGCAGUGGUGGUGGUUGUUUUACUGAUGGUGGUGGUUGACGGCGGGGCGACGAUGGUGGUCGUAACCGGCGGUGAUGGUGGUUGUUUUAAUUCAGAGACAUUUUAAAUAAAAACGUGAAAUGACUAAAAUACCCUUAAGUGAAUAGACUCAACUUAAAUUUUUAACCUGGUUAGUGCUAAAGGACGAAAGAUGUACUGAGUUUUAUUAUAAAGGAUUGUGACUGUAAUUAUUGAAAUUAAAAGUUAUCCAUUGCAACCCGCUACAAACAUAAAAGACGAAAAGUGUAAUUUACCCUUUGAUUUAAUACAGUUUGGAUAAGAUUUAAAUUUA